rnacentral:lncRNA from 1 species
GAGCAGCUCUGCCCAUCUUCACAGAGAUGUCAGUGUUUCAUCCCUUGCAGAUAUCUGGGUAUUCAGCAUGCUUUUCUGUGGCUACAGAAAUGAAUCUAAGCAAACAAAAAGGCAGAGAACUAAUUUCCAAGAGGAGAUAAAUCAUCUAUUCAAGCUUCUUUUUGCAAGUGGAAUGAGCCACAGAAAGAGAGAGACACUGACAUUUAAUGUGAUCCAACCUAUCAACAGAGGAUGAAUUCGCUUGGAUUUAAAACAAGAUACAUAUAUGGGAGACAGUAAGAGGUUAUUAGCUAAAAGCCACAUCUCUGGGGAUGUUCAGCUCUCCUGCAGAUGCAGAGGCUCAGAUGAGCUGGAAGCAAAAUAAGCCUGAUGAUGAUCAAAACAUCAGA